UACGUAGGGCGCAAGCGUUUGUCCGGAAUUAUUGGGCGUAAAGAGCUCGUAGGCGGCUUGUCGCGUCGGUUGUGAAAGCCCGGGGCUCAACCUCGGAUCUGCAGUGGGUACGGGCAGACUAGAGUGUGGUAGGGGAGACUGGAAGUUCCUGGUGUAGCGGUGGAAUGCGCAGAUAUCAGGAGGAACACCAAUGGCGAAGGCAGGUCUCUGGGCCACAACUGACGCUGAGGAGCGAAAGCAUGGGGAGCGAACAGG
rnacentral:rRNA from 1 species